rnacentral:rRNA from 1 species
AUGGGCGAAAGCCAUGACGGAGCAAUACCGCGUGAGGGAAGACGGCCUAUGGGUUGUAAACCUCUUUUUUCAGGGAGGAAUCAAUGACGUGUACCUGAAGAAUAAGCAUCGGCUAACUCCGUGCCAGCAGCCGCGGUAAGACGGAGGAUGCAAGUGUUAUCCGGAAUCACUGGGCGUAAAGCGUCUGUAGGUGGUUUAAUAAGUCAACUGUUAAAUCUUGAGGCUCAACCUCAAAAUCGCAGUCGAAACUAUUAGACUAGAGUAUAGUAGAGGUAAAGGGAAUUUCCAGUGGAGCGGUGAAAUGCGUAGAUAUUGGAAAGAACACCGAUGGCGAAAGCACUUUACUGGGCUAUUACUAACACUCAGAGACGAAAGCUAGGGUAGCAAAUGGGA